rnacentral:tRNA from 1 species
AACCUCAUGGUGCAAUGGUAGUGUCUGAUUUUAGAUCAGAAGGUUGUGUAUUCAAAUCACAUUGAGGUCA